ensembl:lncRNA
AUGAAGGAAUGGUCUCUGAUCUCUUGUCAGGUGUUCUUAAACCUCAUCAGGCAUUAUAGGAGAACAUUAAGAGCUGUUACACUGGCAAUUUGUUUUUUUUUAAGCUCAGGAGGUAAGAAACCAUCAGAAGACAGUUAUACUACAAAACCAUCCAGUGCCAGUGAAUUACGACACACUAUGCAGAAUCAGACUGGGAUGUCAAUACAGACACAUUUGACAUGCUGUUUUAUCUUUGUCUCUGUGCUUUGGAGUCCUGGAGCCCAACAAGUAGUUACUGUGGAUUGCAAGGCAGAGCAUCUAUGUAGUUGGGAGCAAUGUCUAGCUAUAGACAUCACUGAUAGAGACCCCUCUGACAACCCAGAUGGGAUUCCAUACAAGCUAAUAGCAGAAAUUUGUAUGGCAGGUUUGUGACUAUGAAUGAUUCCAUAUAAUGAUCUGUGCAGUGCAUUCUCUUAUUUUUAACUUCUUUUUUUUUCUCUUUUUUUUCUAUAUUUGAUGGUUGAUAAAAGAGUUGAAUAUUUUGAUGACUGCCAAAUGGCUUAAGUGGUCCUGUUCAAUGAAGCGAAGAAGCAAUUUUAUGUAAUUUAUUUAACUUUAUUUAAUAUAUCAUCACUUGUUACAGUGUUCAAAUUCUGGUCUUGAAAUGCUAAAAUAGUGUUUCAUAUUUUUUAUUUUAUAUUAGCCAUACAUUAUUUUUAUUACAUUGAACUCUACCCACAAAUAUCUACCUAUGGUGCAUAUCAACCAGUGGGCCCUAUGGUGUAGCUCUGCCUCUGGUCUCAGUAUUUCAUGAAUGACUUGCUGCUUAAAAGAUUCUUAAACUAGUAUGAAGUAUAUUGUAAAAUGAUCACUCUGUCGCUGUACUGUUUACAGGAAUAGCGAGUACAGACAUUGCUUCUAUCUUUGAGGAGCACCAUAUCUGUAAGAACAGUAGCAUGCUGCAGUGUGACCAAUACCGGGACAGUAGGCGUCUAUGCACUGGACUAGAACAAGCUUGUCUUCAACAUUGUAUUGGUGGGUCAGUCAGCCAAAGCCCAGUUCUGGCUGACCAAUCCAGGGAAUGUGUCCUGUAAACUCAGCCUGGUCAUCAAAACAGUCAAGGUGUGUUUGUGAGAAGUGGUUUUGCCACUAUUGAUGUUGUUCUGCAGUAUAUGUAAAUAUUUUGUAGAGGUUUUAUGUUUUGGAAUGUUUUAUUUGUUCUGUGUUAAUCUUUUUUGAUAUAUAUAUAUAUAUAUAUAUAUAUAUAAUUUUUUUUUUUUUUUUUUUUUUUUCAGUUUUAGACAUACAAAGAUGUGUAUCCCCAGCCACUCAUGCUUUUGCCACCAUCACCUUUUCUCCUAUGACUAUGCACAUAUAUCAUGCAGUGUUUGAGGCAGUUCUGAAAGGGACCACAAGGUAACUGCUUUCAAUACAGGUUUGAACUGUUUAGAUGGUUGUUGAUAGAUUGUUGAGGCUUUACUCAUUCUUUGUAACACAGUCAAGCUUCUGCCCCCAAACCUAAAGCUCUGGUGUUUGAUCUAAUGGGUGAAGGCAAUUGUUUUGUAACACAGUCAAGCUUCUGACCCCAAACCUAAAGCUCUGGUGUUUGAUCUAAUGGGUGAAGGCAAUUUGCCCUGUAUCACUGUUCUGAGACCUAUUCAGAGGUCAGUCAGUGCUAAAUUUCAAGCGCUUAUUGGUGGGACAAGGGCAGACUCUUCCAUUAGUGAUCAAGGACAAUGGCAAUGUGCCUGCACAAGUAUGAUCAAAAUUAGUUUUCAGCUAAAUGUCUAUUUCUCUGACUUUAAUUUUCAUUGUAAUAAUCAAUUAUUCCCUUGUAUUUACAGGUUAGCAUUAUUCUACAAUGUCACCUGGAAGUUUUCACUCUAAAAGCGGCUCCUGGCUGGUUUGCAUACUGGCCUCCUCACAAAUAGAAAGCAAUCCUAGAGAAGGCAAGCCAUAAACACACAUGAAGAGUCAUAGACAUUCAUUUCUGCACAAUGCUGUUAUGUUUUGCUCUUCAAAUGAGCUAUGAAACCAAUAACACAAACAGAAGCAGAUUGUUUUGGAUCUUGCUCUGUUCAUUAUAUUGGGUGUCGUUGUUUAUAUAUCAUUUAGAGCUGGUUUUAUCACUAAAUGCAAUGAUCAGUUCCUUGAUGUUUGACCAAAGAAUCCAGCCAUUGACCAAUCAGAAUCAUGUAUUCUAGAGAGCUGUAUAAUAAACUACAGUAUAUGAAUAUAUUAAAAUUUAAU